CCCUUAGAUGUUCUGGGCAGCACGCGCGCUACAAUGGUCUUCGCAAACGGAUGCAUUCUCGAAGGAGAAUGCCAAUCUUGGAAUCUAUGCCUUGGUCGGGACAGUUGCUUGCAAUUUUUCGACUCGAACCAGGAAUUCCUUGUAAUCGUGAUUCAUCACAUCACGAUGAAUACGUCCCUGCCCUUUGUACACACCGCCCGUCGCUCCUACCGAUUGAAUGAUCCGAUGAAUAUCAUGGAUUGAGGAUGUAAGCAGGUUCGCCUGUCUUCAUCUUCGAGAAGUGAAGUAAAUCUUAUCAUUUAGAGGAAGGAGAAGUCGUAACA
rnacentral:rRNA from 1 species